rnacentral:ncRNA from 1 species
GCAUGCAGUUAAAUUCGAUGCAAAGCUAAGGACAUUAUGAGGGCUUACGUGGGCUUCAAAUGUUGAGUCCUAUUUAUAGAAAGGGGUACCUUCGAAAAAAUACGAAUGCAACUGGUGCAUGGCUGUCGUAAGCUCGUGCCACAAGGUGUUGGGUUGAGUCCCGUAGUGAGCACAACCUUUAUGUUUAGUUGCCUCCAUUGAGUUUGGAACCCUGGACAGUCGGAGGAAGGUGAGGAUGGCGUCUAGUCAUCAUGCCUCUUAGCACAAAUAUAGCCUGC